CGCCUCCCUUCUCCUCUAUCCCUUCUUCUUCACCCAAAACAUUUCAACCCAGUUUCUCGUCUUCAUCCUCGACUAACAAGUGGGUUCUUCACCUGGGUUCUUCACCUUUUCCUUUGGGGAUAAAUCUCUGUGCUUUGCCCCUUUUGUGUUUGUUGAAAUGCCCCCAAUGAGUUUUGUUGCUUAGUUUGGAGCUCAGAGUGUUUUACUUGGGCAUGUUCUGUUUAGGUCAAAUCGCUAAGCUUUUCAGUACUUUGUGCUAGUCUGGAGUGUUUCUAGCCGUUACCCAUUUGCAAGGUUCCAGCUUUUGUUUCAUUUAGUUGCAUUAGGUUGUAUCUUUUGUUCAAAUCAUUCCUAAA
rnacentral:lncRNA from 1 species